GAGCCAGUAGUUCAGUGGAUUAGAACGUUUGUUUCCGGAGCAAAAGGUCGCAGGUUCAAGUCCUGCCUGGCUCACCA
rnacentral:tRNA from 1 species